GCCCUGAGGCCCCAGAUAACAUUGUGCUUUAAACUGUGUCAUAUCAGACGCAAUAAUCACACCUCCCAAAUACUUGGCUCUGAAUUUCGCAUUUAUUUAAAUUCAGCUUUAAGCCUAAAUCUUCAAACACUUUGGCGACAGUGGGAAGGAAAAACUCCCUUUUAACAGGAAAAAACAUCCGGCAGAACCAGGCUCAGGGAGGGGCGGGGCCAUCUGCUGUGAUUGGUUGGGGUGAGAGAAGGAAGACAGGAUAAAGACAUGCUGUGGAAAAGAGACAGAUUAAUAACAGGUGAGAACAGAGAGGGCAGCAUCAUCAGCUCACUGGAAGGUUCAGAAGGUGGUCAGCUGGUAAGGAGCGACGGCCCAGCCCUGUUGUUGACGAUGAAGGUCAUCUGUUUAAGGAGUGAGCUGUUGAUCAGUCUUCACGGAUCAGUGGGCAGGUAUGCCCCAGGGACCUGUCCUAGGGCCCCUUCUUUUCAUCCGCUUGGACACAUUUUCCCCGGUCACUUCCUGGAUCGAUUACAGCAACUCUCUUCUUUUUGGUCGUAGUCAAAAAUCUGUCCAUCAUUAUAUUCCUCUAAUAUGUUUGAUGGUUGUGUUGAUCUGUGUGGGACUGGGGGGAGGGGGCGUUGUGGGUUUUUUUCAUAUAUAUGUGUGUUUAUUUACUUAGGAAAAUGAAGAAAGGUUGAUUGUAUUUUGGUAACUGCAAGUACUGUUGUUUUCUUUUUUCAAUAAAAAAUAUUUUCAAAAAAAAAAAAAAAUCUGUCCAUCAGCUUCAACGUGUCCAGAACUCUGCUGCUCGUAUCAUCACCAGGACCCCUUCUAUGCACCACAUCAGCUCUGCUCUGCAGCAGCUUCACUGGCUUCUGGUUAAAUACCGCAUCAAUUUCAAGACACUUUUGUACACAUUCAAGGCUACCCAUCAUCUCUCGCCUUCAUACCUCUCUGACAUGGUUCAGAUCACCGUUCCUUCUCUGUGUCUCACAUCCUCCUCCUCUCUUUCGCUUUCCAUCCCUUCCCCCCCGGCUAGCCACCGUGGGGCGCAGGGCUUUCUGCUGCUCUGCCCCCCGUCUUUGGAACUCCCUCCCUCCUGAGAUAAGAAACAUCACUUCCCUCCCUCUUUUUAAGUCCAGACUCAAAACUCACCUGUUCACAUUAGCCUAUUACACAUAAUUUUUUCCAUCCUGCUACUUUAAUUUGUUUUAUUUAUUUGCUCAAAGUUUUAUCCUUAUUAUUUUGUAAAUUGUUAUGUUUGUUGUUGUUAUUGCUUGUGUACAGUGUCCUUGAG
ensembl:lncRNA